AUAGAAGGGCAAUGUAAGAGUUUGUGAGUGUCCUAUUGUGGAAGGUGUUCAAUAUAAGGGUGAUGGUUAUACAACAUGUGAAGCUUUUGGACCUGCAAGAUGUGAACAAUGGAGGCUGUUGGUCAGAAACUGGAAAUAAAAUUACUUUCUCAGCUUGUUCAUCAUGCAACAUUGGGACUCUACAAAAAGGUUCUUUAUCGAGCUCCAAAAGCUUUAAAUAGGUACUGUGAUGGUUCUGAUCUAUAAGAGAUAGGAAUACAUGAAUUUGGGAUGAAGUUUCCAUUUCUGUUACUGGGGUAAGUCGCCUGAACUAUAAUUGAUGAUACUUCCAGCAACCCUUUGGUACGAUGAUUCU